rnacentral:ncRNA from 1 species
UGCGAUGAGUCGAGAAAUCACGCGCGAUUGGCUUGCCAAUCACGUCCGCGCAAGCGGCUAGGUGAAUUUUGAGCGGCAGGGCACUUUUGAUCACCGUAUUGUGAUGUGUCUGAUUUUGCGGGAAUGUGGAUUCC